rnacentral:rRNA from 1 species
UGGGAAUGCUGGAGCGCCAGGCGCACCCAGAAACCCUUUGUGAACUUAUACCUUACUGUUGCCUCGGCGCUAGCUGGUCCUUCGGGGCCCCUCACCCUCGGGUGUUGAGACAGCCCGCCGGCGGCCAACCUAACUCUUGUUUUUACACUGAAACUCUGAGAAUAAAACAUAAAUGAAUCAAAACUUUCAACAACGGAUCUCUUGGUUCUGGCAUCGAUGAAGAACGCAGCGAAAUGCGAUAAGUAAUGUGAAUUGCAGAAUUCAGUGAAUCAUCGAAUCUUUGAACGCACAUUGCGCCCUCUGGUAUUCCGGAGGGCAUGCCUGUUCGAGCGUCAUUUCAACCCUCAAGCCUGGCUUGGUGAUGGGGCACUGCUUCUUACCCAAGAAGCAGGCCCUGAAAUUCAGUGGCGAGCUCGCCAGGACCCCGAGCGCAGUAGUUAAACCCUCGCUCUGGAAGGCCCUGGCGGUGCCCUGCCGUUAAACCCCCAACUUCUGAAAAUUUGACCUCGGAUCAGGUAGGAAUACCCGCUGAACUUAAGCAUAUCAAAAGCCGGAGGAA